rnacentral:rRNA from 1 species
UACGGAGGGGGUUAGCGUUGUUCGGAAUUACUGGGCGUAAAGCGUACGUAGGCGGAUUAGCAAGUAUGGGGUGAAAUCCCGGGGCUCAACCCCGGAACUGCCUCAUAAACUGCUAGUCUAGAGUCCGAGAGAGGUGAGUGGAAUUGUGAGUGUAGAGGUGAAAUUCGUAGAUAUUCACAGGAACACCAGUGGCGAAGGCGGCUCACUGGCUCGGUACUGACGCUGAGGUACGAAAGUGUGGGGAGCAAAC